rnacentral:tRNA from 2 species
CCGCCUUUAGCUCAGUUGGUAGAGCAACUCCCUCUUAAGGAGAUGGUCCUUGGUUCGAAUCCAAGAAGGCGGA